rnacentral:rRNA from 1 species
AUUGAACGCUGGCGGCAGGCCUAACACAUGCAAGUCGAACGAGUGGCGGACGGGUGAGUAAUGUCUGGGAAACUGCCUGAUGGAGGGGGAUAACUACUGGAAACGGUAGCUAAUACCGCAUACCAUCAGAUGUGCCCCGAUGGGAUUAGCUAGUUGGUGAGGGAAAGGCCCACCAAGGCGACGGUCCGUAACUGGUCUGAGAGGAUGAUCAGUCACACUGGAACGGGGACAAGGGCCAGACUCCGACGGGAGGCAGCAGUGGGGGAUAUGUGACAAUUGGCGAAAGCCUGAUCCAGCCAUGCCGAGUGUGUGAAGAAGGGCUUUGGAUUGUAAAGCACUUUAAGUUGUGGGGCGUUACCAACAGAAUAAGCACCGGCUGACUUCGUGCCAGCAGCCACGG